rnacentral:rRNA from 1 species
GACGUAGGGCGCGAGCGUUGUCCGGAUUUAUUGGGCGUAAAGAGCUCGUAGGCGGCUUGUCGCGUCAACUGUGAAAACCCGUGGCUCAACCAUGUGGUCUGCAGUCGAUACGGGCAGGCUAGAAUUCGGUAGGGGAGACUGGAAUUCCUGGUGUAGCGGUGAAAUGCGCAGAUAUCAGGAGGAACACCGGUGGCGAAGGCGGGUCUCUGGGACGGUACUGACGCUGAGACGCGAAAGCGUGGGGAGCGAACAGG